CACGUAGGGACCAAGCGUUGUCCGGAUUUAUUGGGCGUAAAGAGCGUGUAGGCGGCCAGGUAGGUGGGUUGUGAAAACUGGAGGCUCAACCUUCAGAGGUCGACCCAAACCCCCUGGCUAGAGUCCGGAAGAGGAGAGUGGAAUUCCGUGGUGUAGCGGUGAAAUGCGCAGAUAUCAGGAAGAACACCCGUGGCGAAGGCGGCUCUCUGGGACGGUACUGGACGCUGAGACGCGAAAGCGUGGGGAGCGAACAGG
rnacentral:rRNA from 1 species